UUUUUUUUUUUUUUGGACAUAACAAAAGCAAAAAUAACAAAACAAAAGUAAGCAAGCAGAAUUACAGCAAACUAAAAAUCUGCAGAGCAAAGGAAAUCAUCAAAUUGAAAAGGCAACCUAUGGGAUGUGAGAAAAUAUUUGCAAACCACAUAUCCAAUAAGAGAUUAAUAUCCAAGAUAUACAUGAACUUUACACAACUCAAUACCCAAAGAAAGAAAUAACCCAAUUAAAAAUUGGCAGAGGACCUAAAUAGACAUUUUUCCAAAAGAAGAUAGAAAUAGCCAGCAAGUGUAUGUAAAUGAGCUCAGCAUCUCUAUUCCCCAGGGAAAUGCAAAUAAAAACUAUAAUGGGAUAUCACCUCACACAAUUAGGAUGUCUUUUGUCAAAAAGGUGAGAGAGGAGUUUCUGCUGUGGUGCAACAAGAUCAACGGUGUCUCUACAGCACCAAGUUGUAGGUUCAAUCCCUGGUCUAGCACAAUGGGUUAAAGGAUCCAGAACUGCAGGAACUCCGUGUGCCAUGGGGCCACCAAUUAAAAAAAAAAAAAAAGUAAGAGAUAACUAGUUGUGAUGAGGAUGUGGAGAAAGGGAACCCUUGUGUAGUGCUGGUGGGAAUGUAAACUGAACGGCCACUAUAGAAAACAGUAUGGUGGUUCCUCAAGAAAUUAAAAAUAGAACUACAAUAAUUUGACUUAUAGGUAUCUAUCCAAAGGAAAUGAAAUCAUCUUGAAGAGAUAUCUACCUUCCUGUUCAUAACAACAUUACUCACAAUAGCCAAGAUAUGGAAACAACCUCAGUGUCCAUCAGUGGCUGAAUGGAUAAAGAAACAUGUGGAAUGUAACCUUAUUCAGGCUUAAGAAAGAGGGAAAUUUUUUAUUUGGGACAACAUGGAUGAACCUGGAGAGCACUGUGCUAAAUAAAAUAACCUAGAAAAAAAAUACCACACGGUAUCAUUUAUGUGUGAAAUCCUAUUUACAAAAAGGGAAACUUAUAGAAAUAGUGAGUGGGGCAUUGGGGGAAACAGAAAGAGACUGGCUGGUAAAAGAGUACAAACUUUAAUUUAUAAGAUCAAUAAAUUCUGAGAACCUAGUCUAUAACAUGGAGACUAUAGUUGAUAGCACUCUAUUGGAUAAUGGAAAUGGACUAAGAUAAAAGAACUUCAAUAUUCUCACCAAAAAAAAAAAAAGACAAAUAUGUGAAGGGAUGGAUAUGUUCAUUGGCAUUAACUCCAUGGGGGUAAUAACUAUUUUGCAGUGUAUAGGUAUAUAAAGUCAUCACUUGGUACACUUUGAAUGUAUUAUAAUUUUAUUUGUUAAUUAUACCUCAAUAAAGCUGGAAAAUAAAUAAAUAAAAUAAAAUCUGACCUCAGCAUAUUGUGAGGACAUAAUGUCUUCUUCAUUAUUGAAAUUCAUGCUUUCUACAUUUUGACAAAAAUAAAAUCUUCAGCAUUUUUUAAACAUGUCUCUUGUCACCUCCCUGCCUCACCUAAGUAUAUAACAGUGUUUCAGAGGGAUGAGGUCAUUUCUUCCUUAUCUUUAUAUCCCUUACUUGGUAUUAUGCCAUGCUCAAGAAGCACUCAAGAAAUAUUUGUUGCAAGGAAUGGAUUUUCCUAAUCAGAUUAUAGUGCUUUGAAAAGAGAGUCUUUUGUACAAGAAAAAAAAAAUUAAACACUUAGUAGGAGCUUAAUAAAUAUUCAUUGAUUGAUUAGACUUGGCUACCCUGGUUUCAUUAUUCAGGCAAAUACAGAAAAUAAACUGCCAUCUCAGGCAGGCUUCUCCUCCCAGAAAUGAGUGAAGAUGAAUUAUCCCAUUGAGUUAUAUAAGAUGAGUAUCUGGCCUGGCAUCCAUAGAGAAAAGUAAAUUAGAUUUUUAAAAUAGUUUCAGGGUUAACAAUGUAAGAUGUUAUUAGUAACACAAGUAAGGAAUCAUUAUUAAUGGAGUCUACGACCUUUAUCUUGAUGGACUGGAAUAAGAGAUUUAUACAUCAGAAUGGGAUGAAUUGUUCAUAUUCAUCAAGGAUUUGGAAACAAAGGGCAGGAACUCAAAUUGGGAACAUUCAGAUUUGUCUAAGGACCAACUGGGAGAAUGCACUGCAAUUUCCCGGGGCUUGUACAAGGUUUUAGAAACUGAAUCAGCCCAAAGGGAGAAGGGCUUUAGAUCAAGAAAGCUACUCUUUACACAUAAAUAUGUAAGUAAUAACUAGCAAUAAUUUAAAAGGAAAUAAAGGAAAUCCAAAAACCACAUAUGUCAGUUUAAUGAGAUUUGGGGAAAAAAUGAUAUUCUUUCAAAGUUUGCUUUAAUACGGCAGGGUCUCUUUAACACAUUCUCAUUGGAUUUAAUAGAGGUUAAAGAGAUUUAACCAAUCUUAGUCCAGAUUUAUUAAAUAUUAUGCAGAUUUUAUAAACUCACUAGAGAUUUCAAUAUAAGUAAUUGUGAAGUUAGUAAAUCUUCCUUUAUGCUUGUUAGUACUCUCUGCAGUUUAAAAGAUAGUGGGUGUAACCAACACUAAGAUUUAAUAUUUAGAGUAUUAUUGCAAAAAACAAAUGAUUCAGAUUUAUUCAGUAUGCUUAAGACUUAACAAAUAUUGUCUAAACUCAGGAAAAUAAAUAUGGAACGAAAAUAGCCCUAAUUGCUUGCUGUGAGGCAAGUGUUCAAUUUACCAAUUUUUUAAAAUGUAUUUAAUAAAUAGAUUACUAAAUCAAGUGCAAUGCUCAUUAAAGACUGUAUCAAUUUAAGGGAUUCAUCUCAGCUAUGAUUUAUUCAAUCUAAUGCCCCAUUGAUUAAAUGUUCUUCAGAUCUUAAAAAGUCCACUUCACGUUUAAUAGGUAUCAGGUCAAUUUAGAAAAGCAUUUAGCACACAUGAAAGCCAAUGAGAGAGGAAGCGAUUUGUACACUCUGUGCUGGAGGGCGCCAUAAGAGGGAGUGACGUUGGGAAACAGUGUACUUAAAAUGCCACUUAAAAGUAUUUCAGAGGGAAAAUACUGCAAUUCGGUAAGCUCCUCCAGUGCCUCUAAGUGGGACAGAUGGGAGAAAAUGAUAUAACGUGGGGAGAGGGUGGUGGAAGAGAGAAAUUCUCCAGAGCAGACCUAGGAAUGGGAUCUGAAAUACCUGCCUAAUGGCCAAAGGGCCUUCACCUGGAAGCCACGGGAAUGAAGGCCCCAACUACUCCUCAUGGUUUGCAGUGAUACAGUUCACCCUUCUAAGUAUUAUGUCUCCCCAGGCCAUCUAUACAGAAUCAUGGCUCAGUAAUUUGGAGUACACUUUUCUUUGGCAAAUUCCACAAUGAUAUAAUAUCAUUAUUCUAAGUUUUGAUUUCUUCCUGUUUUCAAUACUUUGGAUGUGACUUGAUAGAUAUAGAAUAGAUUUAUAAGUCAGACUUCCUUCUGAAACUAUGUCUUGGGUAAUGCAUCCAAAUUGUGACUCUGGGUUAAUGAAUAAAUGAUAGCAUAACACUUCCUACUGAAUGAUUAAGUCAAAAGUCCCUGGAUAUUAGUGUAGGUAAGUUGAAGAGCUCAGACAUAAAUAUUUCCUUUCCCAUUUUAAUACUAAAAGAAUAACAGCCUAACUACAUUUUAUUGAGUAGCCUCUAUGUACUGAACAUCCUUUCUUUUCUAUAUUAUAAAUAUCCUGAAAGUAGUUCUAAACAUCUGUACAUUACACAAUAAUAAAUUGAGAUUUAACAGUUAAAUAACUUGUCCCAAUUCAAAUAGCAAGUGAGUGGCAGAAAUGAGACUGGAAAUCAAAAUUAUAUCACUGUAAAGUCUAUGAUAUGUCACUGCUUCUGUGGAAUAUCCAGAAGAAAUUUGAUUAAAACUGUGACUUAAGGUGUUCCCAUUGCUGUGCAGUGGAAACAAAUCCGAAUAGUAUCCAUGAAGAUGUGGCUUCAGUCCCUGGCCUCGCUCAGUGGGUUGAGGAUCCUGCAUCGCCAUGAGCUCUAGUGUAAGUUGGAGACAUGGCUUGGAUCCCUCAUCACUGUGGCUGUGGCAUAGGCAGCAGCUGUAGCUCCAAUUUGACCCCUAGUCUGGAAACUUCCAUAUGUUGCAGGUAUAAUCCUAAAAAGCAAAAACUGAACAAAAUUAAAAAUAUGACUUAAAUGGCUAGCUUUUUUUUUUUUCUAUCACAGUACUAAGUAUUAUGGAUUCAGAAAUAAAAGGACAAGCCUGUCUUCAAUCACUGUCUUAUUGUGGAGACAGUCAGACAGAGAAAAUCUGCAUGCAGUAAGACAAGGUUUUUGAAAGGGUAAUUCAUGGUGCUAUAUGACAUCCCCAAAGAGGCAUUUAGCCACACCACAUGGGAAAAAUCAAGGAAGGUGUCUAAGAUUAUUAGGCUAUGUUUGGAUAGUCCAACAAAAAAGAAGGAAAGUUGUGGCAGAAGAAACUAUACAUGCGAAGGCAGGGUGAUAUGAUCCAUAAUAUCUGAAGUAUUCAUGAAGUCAAUCACAAGCACUGAAAAUGCAUAGAACACUGGCAGGUGGGCAAUAUCCUUUCCCAGUGCUUAAGAGGAGCUAUUCUGGUGCCAAAUCAAACAAAUGGUGUCAGAACAAAUGGUGUUAUUUUUUUCAACAAAUGGUGUUAGAACAAUAGAUGUCCAAAUAAACAAUAUAAUUCUUGACCUCAGACUCACUCUUGACACAAAUAUUUGAGAUGGUAUACAGACCUAAACAUAAAAGUUAAAACCUAAAACUUCUGAAGCAAAUAUAAGGAAAUACCUUUACAAAUUUGGGUAAUGCAAACAUUUCCUAAGCAGAACACAAAAUCACUAAUCAUAAAAGAAAAAUAUGAUUGAUGGGAUUUCAUCAAAAUGAAAAAUAUACAAAAACACCAUUAAGAAAACAAGCUGACAAGUCACAGACAAGGAGAAAGUUUGAAAUACGUAAUAUUGAACAAGGAAAUUGUAUCCAGAAUAUAUAAAGAAUUUCUACAGAUCAAUAACAAAAAUGCAAACAAUUCAGCUUUUAAAAUGAGCAAAAGUCUUAAACAGUUCCUAAAGAAAAUGUAUGAAUGGACAAUAAUUUUAUGAUAAGGCACUCAAUUAGCCUUCAGGAAAAUGCCAAUUAAAAUAAAAUUUUAAAAAAAUUUAGCAUAGUCUGGAAUUGUUCCUGUUUAAAAAAAAAAAACUUAUAAUGUCAAAUGUUGUAAAAGAAAUGAGGUAAACCAGCACUAUAUGUAGAAAUCACUUUGAAAAAACUCUUCGGUAAUUUUUUUUUUAUUGUGUAAAGAAUAUGGACAGGCUGUACCUCAGCAGUUCCAAUCCUAUACAUGUGCCCCAAAGAAAUGAGAACAUGUAUCUACCCAUGCAAAGUUUAUGCAAGAAACUUUAAAGCAGCCUUACUGAUUAUAGCCUCAAAAUGAGUAUCGCCAUUAAUAUACAAAGUGGCAUGUUACUGCAAUAGAACAUUCCUCGGCAACUAUUGAUACAUACAGUGCUCUGGACAAAUUUCAAAAAAAGCCUAUGUAUAUACAAAAUAAAUUAGACACUAAUGAAUAUUUACCAUCAGAAAGCCAUUGCCUCAUUGGAGUUUAGGAUGGAGAUUGACUGGAAAUGGUCACGAAGAGAAUUUCUGAGAAGAUGGAAAUGUUCUUCAGCUUGGUUUGGAUAGCAGUCACACAGAUAUACAGUCAGAACUCAUCAAGCUUAAUAUAUAUUUUUUGAAAAUUAUAGCUUAAUUUAAAAAAGUGGUCUUCAAAAGGCAGAAUAAGAUCCCUCCUUAGAUCGUCCCACUGGGUCACAGUGAACAAUACUGGAGCAGGAAGAGGGAGACAGAUUUCAAAUCCUUCAUCCUGAAGGAGAAGCACACUGAUAGGUUUUCCAGAUAGAAGGUACAACAUGUCCUAUAUCUUGCUCAAUAUUUUAAUCCACUGGAUGGAGAAGAAAGCCAUGGUGUUUUGCACUUCUGAAACAACACUUAGAAGUUGGAGAUCAAAAUAACUCAAUGUGAAGAAAUCAGAUGAGGUUUUAGAAGCCUUAGGCAUUAGAAUCCCUCAGCAACGGUGUGUUGUGAUGUCAGUCAAGUCUGUAGAGCAUUAUGGAGUUUAGUUCUCCAUUGUGGCUGGGCAUGUACAUUGGUGGUGGUGGAUGUUGUCAUAUCUAGUGAUGGACAGAUAUUUUGUGACAGUAAUAUAAUAAGAGAUGGGAGUAC
rnacentral:lncRNA from 1 species